AGGACGAACGCUGGCGGCGUGCCUAACACAUGCAAGUGGAGCGACGAACCGGACUUCGGUCCGGGGCCAAGCCGCGAACGGGUGAGUAACACGUGGGUAACCUGCCCUGAUGAUUGGGACAACCCGAGGAAACUCGGGCUAAUACCAAAUGUGCCCUUCGGUCUCAAGACCGCUGGGGAAAGGAAGCUUCGGCCUCCGCAUCAAGAUGGGCCCGCGGCCCAUUAGCUUGUUGGUGAGGUAACGGCUCACCAAGGCUUCGAUGGGUAGCUGGUCUGAGAGGACGAUCAGCCACACUGGGACUGAGACACGGCCCAGACUCCUACGGGAGGCAGCAGUGGGGAAUCUUGCGCAAUGCGCGAAAGCGUGACGCAGCAACGCCGCGUGGGGGAAGAAGGCUUUCGGGUUGUAAACCCCUUUCAGUUGGGACGAAGCUUCUUCGGUGAAUAGCCGAACGGAGUGACGGUACCUUCACAAGAAGCACCGGCUAACUACGUGCCAGCAGCCGCGGUAA
rnacentral:rRNA from 1 species